AUAGUUAAUAGACAGUUUUUAAGCCCCAGUGGAUGCUGGGAAGCAAACCUACAUCCUCUAGAAGAGCAGCUAUUUCUCUGAGCCAUUUCUCCAGCACCAUUUUCCCCUCUUUUAAAAGCAGGUCUUGCAGUGUGGCCUAGUCUGGCCCCCUGAGGUGUUUGCAUUGCAUGGCAGGCAUGUCCACAGGAACACCAUAGUUCUCACCACUCGUACAGCACAGCAAGUGGGGUGCCGCAGGGGAUUAUCACUUGAGUAUAAAAUAAGGGUUGCUUUAGAUUGAAUAGGAUAACCACGCGUUCUCAGAACAAUCAAGGAAGGCUGGGGUGAGCCAGCACCGACCUUAAUUGUUUACUUAGUAAACUACUAAAUGUAUGCACGUGUAAGCUUUUGCCUUGAUUGAGGUCAAGCUGUCGAGAAAUGGUUCUCUUUACAGUGGAUCCAGUCAGGAUUGGCAGCAAGCACCUUUGCCUGCUGAGCCUACAUGUUGUAUAGAAUGGCAACGUUGUGUAGAAUGGCAGUACAUUAAAUGGGUUUUUCAUUUACGAAGUGUGCUGGCUGGUUUUGUGUCAACUUGACACAAGCUGGAGUUCAGUUGAGGAAAUGCCUCCAUGAGAUUCAGCAGUUUUCUCAGUGAUGGGGGGAUGGGGGCUAGCCCCUUGUGGGUGGUGCCAUCUCUGGGCUGGUAAUUCUGGGUUCUGUAAGCAAGCUGAACAAGCCAGGGGAAGCAAGCCAGUAACAUUCCUCCAUGGCCUCUGCAUCAGCUCCUGCUUCCUGACCUGCUUGAGUUCCAGCCCUGACUUCCUUGGGGAUGAACAGCAGUGUGGAAGUGUUAACUGAAUAAACCCUUUCCUCCCCAACUUGCUUCGUGGUCAUGUUUUGUGUAGGAAUAGAAACUCUGACUUAAGACAUAAUGGUUUUGAGAUUAUGGUUUUAUUUAUGACUAUGGUGAGCCCUACUGAAGAAGCCUCAGCAUUCAGAUCUAUCGUAUCCUGCCAGUUGCUUGAAGCAUGAAUUUGAGUGUCCCUUCUAAAUAGGUUUUCAUUUCUGUGAAAUGGGUACAAAGAGGCUAUGUUCUAGUACUGUGGUCAGGCUUGGGAUAAACUGUAAAAUGAAAGUGGUGCUUGGCAUAACACUAUUUUACUUGUUUUUAAUCCUGAGAGGGAGUCUGAAUGCUUCUGGGAAGAAGAUGUGGAGUCCGGACUGACCUGUCCUGACUAUAGUAUGUCUGCAGUCCUAAUAACAGCCCCUGGGGGGUUCUUCACUCUUCUCAGCUUUUGUACUCAGAGUGAUGGGGGCUAGUGAGGCUGCCAUGUGGGAAAUCUAAUAACCAGGGGUAUUGGGAAAAUUGAGAUCCUUUUCUGUAGAUGAUGAAUGAGGGCAAAGAGAAGCAGUAAGUAUUUGGGGCCUGAAGCAGAGAGAUGAGGGGAAGGGAAGUUAUAAUGGAAGUCUUGAGUCAGCUGACAGGAAUCAUGAGUCAGCAGAAACCUGAGUGACCAGGAGUUGUGAGUCAGCAGAAAGUAUAGAUAGCAAAGAUGAUGAGUCACCAUCAUUCUUGGUGAAUCAGGGCUGAACUGUUGUUACUGAAAUUCCUUUUUGGGUUCUUGGUCUUAUCAAUGAGAUAAUUUAGGGGCUGGGACAAUGGCUAGGUUGUUAAGAGCACUUGCUGCUCCUGAGUGGAUUCAGGUUCGGUCCCCAGCACCUCCGUCGGGCUGCUCACACUAGCCUAUGACUUGGGCUCCGGGGAGUCUGACACCCUCCUCUGGCCUUCAAGUGUGCUUGUACACGCCUGGGGGUGGGGUGGGGGGAGAUGGAGUAAUGAAAUGAAAUUUCUGAUUUUUUAAGUCUUUGAAAGUAAAAUACAAUUAUGUUGGCCUCUCUCCCUGUCCUUUUCAUUCAACCUCUCCUAUGUGCUCUCCUCUUACUCAAUUUCUCGAAUUUAUGGCCUCUCUUUGUGCGAACAUGUGUGUGUGAAUAAAAUAAAGCAUUUUUUUUAAAACC
rnacentral:lncRNA from 1 species